ACUCUCUCUCCCUCUCUCUUCUCUCUCUCAUUCUCCUCUCCAUCCUCUCCCUCUCUCCCUCUCUUCACCCGUUACAACCACCCCCACCUCCCACCACCAACACCUACCACUGCCCUUCAGCCGCCACCACAACUUCCCACCACCAACCUUCAGCCGUCGCAUCCCAUCGCCCACCACCACCACCAACACCCAACCACCACCUCUUAUCACCAUUCUCAAGGCUCUGUUCUUCUUGUCGGCACUACUCCAAUCAGUUUUUGGGAUACUUGCAUUUUCUUUCUAGGGAGCCGGAAGAGACAAGGGAACCAGUUUUCGAUUAGGAGCCUAAGGAAGUUGAUUCGGGGACGUGUAUCCAGAUCUGGGUGCCGUUGAAGGUUAGUGGUCAUGAAUCGGAUACCAGAGGUGGUAAAUUUGGUCAGAACUCAGAAGGAACGUUCACUUAAACAUCCACUAGAUGUAAACAUCCACAAUUUUUGAAAUUGUUGUUGCUUCCCUUUUUA